CCAAGUCAACUGGUUGUGUUCUGACUGGCCUGGUUUGUACACACUGUGUGUUUGCACAGUGAUGCAGAGGAGGAAACGACCCGUGAGCAAACUGCACUGGUUUGUGAUUCUAAAGCACGGUGCACCUGGUGGACGCGGAUGAACGUAGGACAUGUGCCACAGAGGGAGCAGAAUUUCCCGCCACCCCAGGGUGCAUGGGGCUGGUGCUACAGCCGGUAUGAAGAAAGGCCAGCUCCACUGAGCCCCCGAGCCACAUGCCGGCUCCAUUCAAAUCAGCUCGGUGGGUGCGGCCCAACUGUCUCCACGUCCUGUUAACCCGCUCAGAGCCGGAGACUAUAGGAAGCGGAGACACAAAGGCCGAGAGCAGGCAGGGCUCGGAGUUCGGGCCACGGCGGAGGGUAAACGCGCAAUUGAUGAUGCGCAGGAUGUGAUAUUGUUUCGGCCCUCGUUGUAACUGAUUUAUUUAUUAUUUUAUUCAUGUAACUUUAAAUAAAAAAAUUUAGGGGCUCUCUAUAGACAAUGACAUGUUUUAUUUUGACAAUAUGUGAGGGUUCAUAUUGUCAAACAUUACCAACUUUUCCUCAAUGAAACGGCCUGUUGGCCUUUCUUUAAAGAUGUAAGUGAAAUAAUAUAUUUUAGCCAGUACUAAUUAAUAUUGAUUUCCAAUUACAUACUCUAUAGAGGAAUAUGAUCACUACACAGUCCCCAUUCCAAAAAAUGUGUAUAAAUAAAGUAUUUCAUAACACAAAAACUGUUGUUUUCAGAUCAACUUCCUCUCUCACGCUCACAUCGUAUCUCUUUCACAUCCUCUUUGUCUGCAACGCCCCGAGCAAUGAACGAAGCAGUGAGGCCUUCAUCGCCGCACUGCAGGGACCAGAGCUUUGUCCUCCACUACACUCUGGUGGCUCCCGCCGUGUAACGCAACAAACGGCCGCUUUCGCUCUCAGUACCACCACCACGAAUGAGAGGCUCAACUGGGGUGUUUCAAUCAGGAUUAAAAAUAUAUAUUUUGAAUCUGAAGAUUUCAGGAUUGUUCCUGUGCUCAUUCUUUCAAAUAGAACUGUUGUGUAUUAUUAAUUCUUAUUAUGUCUAACGUGAAUAAUUAUAAUAAAAUACUCUUAAGGAAAUCCUCGGGUUCCACGCAAUAAAAGACACAAACCGGAAGUUUCCAAUCGAUGAAAGCUCUCUGGGUUCUCUGGAGAGGCCGGAGGAGAGUGUGUUGUCCCAGCCGAGCAAGAUCCGGAUGAUAGCACGACAGCGUAGAUGAUUUUGCAGACGGGCGUAAUGGCCCCCUGCUGGUUUGUGAUUUGAUUCACCUUCGAUGGUGACACCUUGAAAGUACACAAAGUACCACAGUAAAUCUACACUAAGUAGGAAAAAAAUCUUGAACACUUUUAUAAAAAUGAAUUAGUGUCAGUAACGAAACAUUUCGUUUUAUAUAACCUUGAUCUAAACAGUCAUUUUAGACUAGUUAUAUAAAUAUAUAUAUAAAUUAUGGCUGUAUGUACCCAUCCGGUUUAGUCCUAA
ensembl:lncRNA